CAGCAGCCACGGUAAUACAGAGGGUGCGAGCGUUAAUCGGAUUUACUGGGCGUAAAGCGUGCGUAGGCGGCUUCUUAAGUCGGAUGUGAAAUCCCUGAGCUUAACUUAGGAAUUGCAUUCGAUACUGGGAAGCUAGAGUAUGGGAGAGGAUGGUAGAAUUCCAGGUGUAGCGGUGAAAUGCGUAGAGAUCUGGAGGAAUACCGAUGGCUAAGGCAGCCAUCUGGCCUAAUACUGACGCUGAGGUACGAAAGCAUGGGGAGCAAACAGGAUUAGAUACCCGUGUAGUCCCUGUCUCUUAUAC
rnacentral:rRNA from 1 species